rnacentral:lncRNA from 1 species
GGUAGUUGUAUAAAAGGAAGGAAUGAACAUCCUAGGGAGAGUAAAACUCUUUGAUAACUGAAUAUCUUACCCAAUUUUGCAUUCUUCAUUUACUUUCUUGCUGAAAGACUCUAACCAGGAGAGCAAGUGAUGGCGCAACCAACUGAAAUACAAGGAAAUUCGAAUCAAGCAGAACCACUGACAGGUAUAGGCGAUGUGGUCUUAAAAUAUGCUGGAACUUGUAUUUUCUAAUGGUUCUAUUUCUUUGCUCUAUCAUUUGACAAACAUAACCCUGAACUUGGCUAGUGAAAGAAAAGAGAAAAAAUAAUCAGUAUGGAAAGGAUUUUUGUGCUCACUCUGCCUCCUGCAUUUAUUGAAGAUGUUCGAGUACGGCGUUGGAUCAGUUCAUUCUCUAAUCAGAGGCGGUUCGGGUGCGUUAUCUUUUAAAAUUGUUAUUGCAUCGUAAAAUUAACAUUUGGGGUGGAUCUUCAUCAAAUUGUUCUUUUCUGGGACACUUCUUAAUGUCUGCAAGGAAAGCGCAGUAACAAAAUGGACUGAAAAGGUCGCAUCCAUUGCAAAAAUAUUGAGAAAGGUCCUGGCGUGGGCCGCGACGCUCUUGCGAUGGCUGCCAAGGGCAUUGGGGGAGGCCUGCCAAGCCCUUGCCAGCCACAAUGAGGGCCACGGGCCUUCGCCGGCUUUCAAUCCAAAAAAAAAAAGUACAAAAAAAAAAAUGAAAACAAAACAAAACAAAACAAAACAAAAUUAUAAUUAUUAUAAAAAUAUAAUUAAAAAAAUGUUCAUCUUAGCUUUGGCCGUGCUAGGUAGGAUAGCCAGUAUAUUCGUCAGUAGUUUCCAACUAAAAUUGAUCAGAUGAACUCAAUUUGCAAAACAUAAAAUGUUUAAGACUUAAUUGGUAUAAUUAAAAGGUUUAGGCUUAAAUUGGCACAAACAAAAUAGACUUAAGACUAUUUUGGUAAUUUUCUCAUGGCUUGUUUGUUUUUUACUUCUUUUAUAAGGAGAAAAAAGCUCCUACUUAAUUCUUUGCCAUAAUUUGGAAAAGAACUUGUGUUAGGCACAUUGCCUGUAUAAAAAAAGAAAAAAAAAAUCAUUGCACAUUUAUCAUUGGAUGAGUAACAUGCGCGUAAAGUUUGUUAGUAAUUCAAUUUUUUCACAUGUCAACCAACUAAGAAUGUGUAACUAAGUUGUAUAUGAUUUCAUGUGCUAAUAUUCUUAAAUAUUUUGAAAGAUUUUCGAUAUUCGCGAAAUUCUAAUUGCAAGAGUUGUGAAAUUGUAAAUUGAGACAAGAUUUGAUGAUAACCUAAAUAUUUUCUUGGACAGAUACUUCAUCUCAAUACAGCAUAGAAGAAUACGUUGAGCGGGUUGCAGAAGUUGGGCAUGGGACUAAGGGCAGGCCUCUA